UUCAGUGUUGCCAACUCUUGGGAUUAUAUUGUUACCUACAUCAAGAAAAACGUGAUUGAAAUCAAUAGGACUGCUAGUGAAAUAAGAUGUAGUGAAUGAAGAUGACUUCUGAAAAUAUAUAUGCAAACUGUAUUUGACUCUAAGGAUUUGCCAUUCAAACACAACAUAUUGCCAGGAAUCACAAGGAUUGGCCACAAGUUUUGUCUUUGGUAUAAGAUCUAGGGUGCGGUUGACUUGGGGCCUCUGUAAAAGACUGUUUGUGUGGAUGAGGAAUGUAUGCAUCAGGAAAAGAUAAGGUGUGAAGGCAAUUGUUAUAGCCAGAUGGUCAAGGAAGAAGAAGUGAGAAAACCAUCAGUGUGCAUCCAUAAUGAAGGAAGGGCAGAUUGAUGACCAUGAGGUGCAGGCUGGCACCCCUAAGGACAAAACAAUUAAUUAAAUCGGAACCAGAACAGGAUGACCCUCUCGGAGGUGUAUAGGAAUAUUUACAUCAAAAGAUAACACAAGUAACCAGUCAGAAACGGACACAGCAAAAUCCAUAGACUUCUACUUUCUACAGAGAAAAAAGACUAUAAGAACAGAGUGGUUGGCCAUGGGACUUUGAGUUCAUCUUGCCACACUCCAGGAGCAUCGGAUUGCAAUUGACAGAGCCCGGAUCCCCUCUGUGACCAAUCCGGCUGGCCACUAGAUUGAUCCAGACUCUGGACUGGUAACUAUAAACAUCAAC